rnacentral:rRNA from 1 species
UACGAAGGGUGCAAGCGUUAAUCGGAAUUACUGGGCGUAAAGCGCGCGUAGGCGGCUUUGCAAGUCGAGUGUGAAAGUCCCCAGGCUCAACCUGGGAACUGCAUUCGAGACUGCAUAGCUAGAGUAUGGGAGAGGGAAGUGGAAUUUCAGGUGUAGCGGUGAAAUGCGCAGAUAUCAGGAGGAACACCGGUGGCGAAGGCGGGUCUCUGGGCCGAUACUGGCGCUGGAGGAGCGAAAGCGUGGGGAGCGAACAGG